AUCCGAGGACUCUAAUCCUCAACCCGUUCCUCAGAGCAACUUGGUGAAAGGGAGUGUCUGCUGUCAGAAGCAGUGGUGGAGAUGGCGGUUCCUGUCCUGAGUUAGAGUCCCAGAGGACGCGCACAUUGUGAAUGGGAGAGUUCACAUCCGCGACUGGCGAGAGGAGACGCCGUGGAAGACAAAGCAGCCGGAAGCGAAGCGGAGACUGCUCUCCGAAGCCUGCAAAACCCGCCUCUGCUGGUUCUUCACGCAUCACCCUGAUGGCUGUGCUCUGUCCACGGACUGCUGCCCAUUUGCCCACGGGCCUGCGGAGCUGCGGCCACCCCGGACCACCCCAAGGAAGAAGAUUUCAUGAGCUGCGUCCUUGCCAGCGGAGGCCUGGUCGGGGAGGCCAAACCAAGGAGAGCUUCCCCAGCAGUCCUCAGUGCUGUGGUCUCUGCUCUGGCUGUGUUUCAGCCAACCUCCUCCCAGCUUUCUCCAGAUCCUCACAGUGGUGAGCCAUAUUUCAAAAACAUCACACGCCAGAGAAGCCACAGUUACUGGGAAGCCCCCAGCUGGGUGCCUGGCUUGUUUCUGAUGCAGCCACUUGAAACGUGCACAGCAUCUUCAUAUCAUAAAGAUCGUGCACGGAUCCUUACAGUGUCUCCUGGGGGAGAGCGACUGAGGCUGCCUCACACAGGCCCUUCCCAGGGUGCUGUCCGACGCCUGCCCCACCAUGUCCACAUCUGUGAAGAGGAUGCGGCUCCUCGAGAAGUAAGACCGUAUUUGCCAGCGUUUCUCACCACACUGGAGAGCAGCCGCUCUGGAGCAGGGAUCUGCCAGAUUGGUAUUUUUAAAAAAGGUGUUAGGCUUGCUAUGUUGAGGUUGUUUUUAGAGUUACAGAGAAUAAAAACACUCAUAAUUUCCUCACAUGGGCCACUCUAAGCGGCAUGAAAAAAAAAUCCUAAGUGAAUUGUUGACAGGGCUUUAAAAAUGUAAAUAUCACAGAUGACAGAAAGGUAAGACCUACACCUUCCUCCCUCCUCCACGAGACCCUCUCCCCAGAAAUACUGCAGCAGUCCUUUUUAGUCCUUCCAGAAAAAAAUCCUGAUUUGUUUCUCUUUUAUUUUUAUGAAGUGAUAGGGUCUUGAUCUCUCGCCCAGGCUGGAGUGCAGUGGCAAGAUCAUAGCUCACUGCAGCUUUGAAUUCCUGGGCUCAAGCCAUCCUUCUGCCUCCGCCUGUCAUCAGCCUGUCAAGUGACUGGGACUGUAGAUGCACGCCACCAUGCCUGGCCAACUUGUAAAAUUUUAGAGGCGGGGUCUCGCUAUGUUGCCCAGGCUGGCCUUGAACUCUUGGGCUCAAGCAGUCCUUCCACCUCAGCCUCCCAAAGUGCUGGCAUGACAGCCGUGAGCCAUGGCAUUUGACCCCCGAUGUUUCUAUUUAAAGUUAUUUCUAUGGUUUUAUACAAAAGGUUACAUGCAGUCCACACUGUUCUGCCAUUGACUUUCUGCAGUGUACCCUGGUGCCUCUCCGUUGGGUAUAUCCGCCUGGUUAUUGGCAGCAGCCGUGUGGCAUUCCGUGGCAGCGCUGCACUCAUCACUCCUGAGCAGUGAGAAGAAACGGGCAUCUUCUCUGAAGGCACCUCAGCUCUGCAGUACCACGGGGCGGCGCUCCCACGGGCCCAGACCCUGCCCUCUGAGUUCCAAGUCAGUCCCAGAGCACAGAUCCCAGGCUGAGGAUGUGCCAGGAGGUGCCUGGCCCUGGAAGGGUCCACCCUUCAUCUUACUGGGAGACUGGCGCUCUGUGGCCCUUUGGGGCAGGCCCCAGUUUGUCGAGCAGCUGCAGCUCUGACUAGUGAGGCACAAGGGAGCUCUGCUGAGGCCUCUGGGGUCCCCACGCUGGGAAGUUCUCCCUGCAGGGGACACCUGGUGUAGAAGCCCUGAGGGAGCAGCCGGGAGCCCAGCACUGAGGGUGGUGGAGCAGGAAGAUGGAAAGAACUCUCUUCCCAAAGAUGAGCCACAGAGCAGCAUCCCUUCCCCAGCCCCUGCAUUAGGCCGUGAGGCAUCUUCCUGCCAAACUGCACCAGGGUUUUCAGGUUUUGUUGCUCAGCACAUCCAGGGUCACGCACUUCAGGACAAGCCACCUGAUGCCCCUUGGCCCCCCAGCCCUGCAGCCUCGCUGGAGCUCUCCCUGCAGCAGGAAGGGCGGAGCCCAACCACAGAGGGGCUUGGGGCGACAUCAAGGGUUGGCAGAGCAGGGAGUGCAGGGAGCCCGGCCCAGAGGAGCAGCCCUGCCACCACCUCCUGGAAGGGGCACACCUCCUGAGCUAAGCCCAGGAUGCCACCCAAGCCUCGGGGCCUCCCAAGGUGUCCCCCAUGCCAGAGUGUGUGGUGUCUGUCAGGCCCAGGAUAGCUCCAGGUGGUUGGACUCCCAUUUCCUCUCCCCUUCCCAGGUCUUUCCCAAGCCCAGAGCCAGUGCUUUAAUUUUCCAGUGUGAGGAGACAGGAGAGUGGCCACAGAGCCUGGUUCUGCACUCAGUGCUGCUGGACUCCAAACUUGGCUCCGGCACUGCAGUCCUGGUGAGGGUGGUGGCCCUGGGGAAGAUGAGCUCCCCAACACUUGGUACGGCAGUUUCCAGUCAUAAGCCGCAAGGACACAGUCUCAAAGGAGCAUCAGAUGGGGCUGGGGGCAUGUGGGGUGGCCCUGGCUCUCCCGGGUGGGGUCCUGCCAGGCCAAGAGCUAUGCUAAGUGGGGCCCACCAUGGCCAUAGGCCCCUCCGUGUCACCUGGCAUAAUCAGCUGGUAGAAACAGCCUUUGGGGACCACAUCACCUGACCUGAUCUCCGGUUGCCAGGUACCGUUUCUUACUGCCCCCCAGCACCACUGUGCCCCUGUCCACAGAUCAUGUGACUGGGUGUCAGGCACAGCUCCCUUGCAGCAAUGAACAAUACAUCUACAUCUAUGGAUGAAGGUGGGCAGAUAGAGGUUUGGCGGGGGUGGGGCGGGGCACUGAUCAUGGCAGCCUGCUGUGGCCAGCCCCAAGGGCUUCCCGGUGACUUCUCAGAGCCUGAAUGUCUCUCCUGGACAGGUGGGAUCGAGGGAAUGCCACGAAGGUGGGCAUGAGGGGGAAUCUCGCCAGGGGUACAGCGUGUCUACACUGCUUUCCAGACUAGUGCCAGGCAGGCACUAGGUCUCACUGGCUGAGGGGCAGCCUCUGUCCCCAGGCGCCCCGACUUGCACCAUCUGCUGCAGAGGAGGCCCACCUGUGGUGAGCAUCGUGGUCUUAGGGCCUGCAGGGUCCUUGUGGAGUUACCAUGGUCACCGCAGCCCCUUGGACUGGUGCUGGGGAUUCAGACACCAGGUCACACAGGCCUUGGCUCGUGGCAUGGCCAAGCCCUGGGGUCUGUCGGGGUUGGCAGGGCAGGCUUCCUGGAGGAGGGGCUGAGGCUGCGUAUUCUCCCUCUCGUCCUGCCAUCCGCUGGGGCUGCUCUCCAGGGCCACAACUGUCACACAACGAGGAACCCGGGCCUCGUGCAGAAGAGCCUUGUGUGGGUGUAUUGAGAAGAGAGUUCCAGAGGAGAAGCCGAGCCCUCUGCUGACUUGCCCCCAGCUCAUGUCUGCUUGACCCUUCCUUGUUGCCGUUUUUGCUCGGAAAACUAUAUUGUGGACCUCAUCGUUCUGGGAAAAGGUGGUUCACGAGAAAGCACAGUCAUGUGUCACUUAACAGUGCAGAUGCAUUCUGAGAAAUGCGUUGUUAGGUGAUUUCAUCAUCCUGCAACAUCAGAGUGUGCCCCGCGCUCCUGGAUGAGACAGCCUGCCCCACACCCAGGCUGUGGGGGACGGGACGGCCUGUUGCUUCUGGACCACACGCCUGCACAGCACAUUAACUGUGCUGAAUGCUGUAGGCAGUUGUAACGCAAUG
rnacentral:sRNA from 1 species